rnacentral:lncRNA from 10 species
CGAGCCAGGUCUAGAGAAGCAAUAGAUGGUUGGCAGAGAAGCUGAAACGACUCGACCUCUACCAGGGCUCAGCUUUCUCAUCACUGAACUGGAGAUACAGGUAGUCCAAUCCACGAAAGUGUGAGAACCAUGAGCCUAGUCUCGACCUCAGGAGUUGCCUGAGGAAACUGAUGCUAAAAAUCCAAGUUGCAAAUCAAAAUAUUAGAAAAAUCAAGCCAUGCUCUAGACUUGGAAGCCCGACACUUAGAUCAUCUCUCUCUGAGCAGAGCCAGCUGUUGGCCCCCAUAGGAGUUGGAGACUUGGAAUCCCCUUUGGUGCAGAAACUAUUCCUUCAUGAGAAGAAGUCCUUAAAUAGGCUCUUUAGACAGGAGGCCACAUGUUGAAGGCAGCAGGGUCACAAGAUGGAAGAACCAGGGUCCCAGUAUCAUCGCUCCCUGCUUCAAGCUGCCAGGGGCAGCCUAACCCACAUGGCAUUAUGACAUAAGAAACAAAGUAACUAUUGUUUUAUUAAAUCAAUGAGAUAUUGGGCUUCUUGUUAUAGCAACUAGUAUAAAUUGCCCUGACUGAUACAUUAUGGAUUUAGAGUGCACUGUACUACAACUGUUUGUUGUAUUUUCAAAAUUGUGGUAUAACUGACUUACAAUAAACUUCAUAUAUUUAAAGAGUACUAUUUAAUAAGUUCAACAUAUUCAUAUAUCCAUGAAACCAUCACCACAAUCAAAAUAAGACACAUUUCCAUCAACUGAAAAAGUCUCCUCAUUCUCCUUUGAAAUCUCUUCUUCC